UUCGUGCGGGUGAAAGUGAUUAUGUCAGAACAGCUCUCUUCUCCUUCAACCACUCGAGCGAACGCCUGAUAGCUAGGGUUUCGGCCAUGUGAGCCGAUUGAGCACGGAUUUUCUGCACAAAACCAGCAGUGCACACCCCAUCAGCUCCUCUACAAAGACCGGCGAUGGAUCCCUCUGAUCGGCUCUCCUGCCAUGAGCAAUCCACGUUGAUCUUCCACGCUCCCGGAUCUGGAGGUACCCACGAGUGUCUUUCCGAGGCCGUUUCGUGCUUUCCAUAUGUACCACAAAAUGGUCGCGAAGGUCGCCUUUUGACUUGCUGAGAUGCCGGAGAAGAGGAUAAAUAGGUGCUCGGAGGACUCCGGAUGCUCGCAGCAGAAAGGGCAAGUAGGCUCGGGUAAG